rnacentral:lncRNA from 1 species
AAGAGGAGAGUCGUCCCUGAUCGUAGGAUAUUAAUUAUUGUCUUUAUAUUAAUGUGGAUUUGUUUAGUUAUUAGUUAUAUAUUUAUUGCACUUAUGUAAAUUCCACAAGUCGAAACCAACCAAAUAAAUAAAUAAACAAUGAAUUACCACUGCGUUACAUAAGAACUGAGCAUAAGAAAUGGAGCUAACUCGUUUUAAGCAUUAGGAAAAUGGUUAUCUCAGCAAUUGUAGAUGAAGAUUUCUUAAUAUGAAAAUCGCAAUUGUUUCACACUGAAAAUGGCACAAAACGGUAAAUCGUUCUUUACAACUCUACAUCUCAAAGCAUGGGUUGUCUGGAAAUAACUCAAAAUAAUUGCGUGUUAUCGUCGAGUUCAUCGUUAAUUUUAAUUUUCAUAUUUGGUAUUAAAUUAAAGUAAAUUGAAAUAUUUUAUCAGGUCCAUCACAUACUUUACAUCAAAUAUAAAUGAA